AUGCCCAUAGCUCAGAAGGUAGAGCAGUAGUCUUCUAAACUAUAGGUCACAAGUUCGAGUCUUGUUGGGCAU
rnacentral:tRNA from 1 species